AUUGAACGCUGGCGGCAGGCCUAACACAUGCAAGUCGAGCGGAUGAAGGGAGCUUGCUCCUGGAUUCAGCGGCGGACGGGUGAGUAAUGCCUAGGAAUCUGCCUGGUAGUGGGGGAUAACGUCCGGAAACGGGCGCUAAUACCGCAUACGUCCUGAGGGAGAAAGUGGGGGAUCUUCGGACCUCACGCUAUCAGAUGAGCCUAGGUCGGAUUAGCUAGUUGGUGGGGUAAAGGCCUACCAAGGCGACGAUCCGUAACUGGUCUGAGAGGAUGAUCAGUCACACUGGAACUGAGACACGGUCCAGACUCCUACGGGAGGCAGCAGUGGGGAAUAUUGGACAAUGGGCGAAAGCCUGAUCCAGCCAUGCCGCGUGUGGGAAGAAGGUCUUCGGAUUGUAAAGCACUUUAAGUUGGGAGGAAGGGCAGUAAGUUAAUACCUUGCUGUUUUGACGUUACCAACAGAAUAAGCACCGGCUAACUUCG
rnacentral:rRNA from 1 species